UCAGCUUGAGGUGCAGAACAUAUA
rnacentral:siRNA from 1 species